GACGAACGCUGGCGGCGUGCCUAACACAUGCAAGUCGAGCGGGAACCUCAGGAGGGGUAACCCUUCCGAGGGGAGAGCGGCGAACGGGUGAGUAACACGUGGGCAACCUGCCCCGGACACCGGGAUAACCCAGGGAAACCUGAGCUAAUACCGGAUACUCCGGCGCGAUCGCAUGGUCGCGCCGGGAAAGCUCCGACGGUCCGGGAUGGGCCCGCGGCCUAUCAGCUUGUUGGUGGGGUAACGGCCCACCAAGGCGACGACGGGUAGCUGGUCUGAGAGGACGGCCAGCCGCACUGGGACUGAGACACGGCCCAGACUCCUACGGGAGGCAGCAGUGGGGGAUCUUGCGCUAAUGCGCGAAAGCGUGACGCAGCGACGCCGCGUGGGGGAUGAAGGCCUUCGGGUUGUAAACCCCUUUCGGCAGGGACGAAGGGAAACUGACGGUACCUGCAGAAGAAGUCCCGGCUAACUACGUGC
rnacentral:rRNA from 1 species